rnacentral:rRNA from 1 species
AGAACGAACGCUGGCGGCAUGCCUAAUACAUGCAAGUCGAACGAACACUUCGGUGUUAGUGGCGCACGGGUGCGUAACGCGUGGGAAUCUGCCCUUGGGUUCGGAAUAACAGUUGGAAACGACUGCUAAUACCGGAUGAUAUCGAAAGAUCAAAGAUUUAUCGCCCAGGGAUGAGCCCGCGUAGGAUUAGCUAGUUGGUGAGGUAAAGGCUCACCAAGGCGACGAUCCUUAGCUGGUCUGAGAGGAUGAUCAGCCACACUGGGACUGAGACACGGCCCAGACCUCCUACGGGAGGCGAGCGAGUAGGGGAAUAUUGGACAAGUGGGCGACGAAGCCUAGGACUCCGAAGCAAAUCGGCCGCGUGAGUGAGUGAAGGUCCGUUAGGGUUAGUAAAGUCGUUACGUUUACCCGAGUA